rnacentral:rRNA from 1 species
AUUGAACGCUGGCGGCAGGCCUAACACAUGCAAGUCGAACGAGUGGCGGACGGGUGAGUAAUGUAUGGGAAACUGCCUGAUGGAGGGGGAUAACUACUGGAAACGGUAGCUAAUACCGCAUACCAUCAGAUGUGCCCAGAUGGGCUUAGCUAGUAGGUGGGGUAACGGCUCACCUAGGCGACGAUCCCUAGCUGGUCUGAGAGGAUGACCAGCCAGCCGGUGACUAAGACACGGUGCAGAAUCCUACGGGAGGCAGCAGUGGGGAAUAUUGCACAAUGGGCACAAGCCUGAUGCAGCCAUGCCGCGUGUAUGACGAAGGCCUUCGGGUUGUAAAGUACGUUCAGCGGGUGGGCGUUACCCGCAGAAGAAGCACCGGCUAACUCCGUGCCAGCAGCCGCGGUAAUUC